UCAAUGUUUAUCCUCAGAGCAAUGUUUAAAACGAAUGAGUUUACUGCCAGCAGCGACCUACCAAUCUGUCAUGUUCAGUACACGAGGUGCCAGUCAAAAUGUGGAAGAUGACCACACACCAUUCAUACAUAAAGGUGUUCCAGUUCUACAUUUGAUCUCCACACCAUUCCCAACUGCCUGGCACUCCGUUAGGGACACGAUUGGAAAUUUGAACUUUCAGGUCAUCGACAAGUUCUCCAGAGUCCUGCGGGUGUUUUUAGCCUCCUUGUUGACUGGCUCAUAAACAGACCAUGAUACAAGGACUCACUUUAGUGCCUGUGAUAACAAGUUGGCCAGAUUUUGUUGAGGGUACCAGACUAACAAAGAAUCUCAUCCUGUAUGAGUGAAUGUGUUGGAAUGAAUUGUAAAAAAAAAAAUAUAAUUUAUUUUGGCAUAUGUAAUAUACAUUUGACUUUUUUUCAAACUUUAAAAAAAAAGGUGACAUUGAAAUGAAAGGUAAAUUGUAUCUGUAAUAUAUAAAAUGCUAAAUGAGGUUUCAGAGUAUAGUAGAAUUAUGUUAUGGCAGUGUAGUUAUUGGCUUGGCUGCAAAACAGAAGUAUUAAGUUUGAGACUGUAUUAGAAAUUAGGUAUGUUUUGGAUAAAGUUAAGUGUUUUGGUUGGUCAUUGUGCUAGUCACAUAGCAGCUUCAUGAACAAUUGGUCACAAAACUAGUUCACCUGACCCAUGAACAUCUUGGUUUCUUCCACGUAAGCCCCCACCUAUACAAAUGUCCAGGAGCAUCUUUUUUUUCUAUUUACAUUUAUACACCAGUAUCAGCUUUCCAAUGAGAAAAUGGUGAAAAGUAGGUGAAAAAAAAAGUCUAGUUGGGUUUCUUUUUGUGGCUUAUCUAGGUUUAAAUAUUUUCAAGCAAACAUUCAUGAGUCCUUGACUUGUAAGUAUCAGAUGUUCCUUUAGAAAUGAAGAUUAUGUUCUAGCACUAAACUCCCGAAAGGAUGGCAGGGGCUUAUGGAAGGUGGGAGCGCGGACCAUCGUGAUGACAGUUUGGAAUGCAUGCUACAUGACCAGGCAGCCAUGCAUGGCCUUGUGACAGUGUGAUGAAUCAAAUUAACAUGAUUGUAAUGGCUCCUAUGAUAAUGUGCUAGUUACAGAAUAAAUUAAGUGUCGGUUUAACUAUGGACUUUUACAAUAGACAAUCCAAACAGGCCCUAGUGUCAUUAUCGAACCACAAUGGGCCAACUAUAUAUAGACUCUAUAUAGUGUAUCUUUAAAAAAUGUUUUUUUUUUAAAUGAAGCAUUUGUGGAUAAAAGCUUUUCAGCAUUGAUAAUGAAAUUUUGAACUAAUAAACUGAUAAACAUUUUUUAAAAUAUGAUUUUGGAAGUAAAUAAAAUGAAUGAGUAUCAAUAA
rnacentral:sRNA from 1 species